rnacentral:rRNA from 1 species
GAUCCUGGCUCAGGAUGAACGCUGGCGGCGUGCUUAACACAUUCAAGUCGAACGAAGAAGAUCGGAGCUUGCUCCGAUCGGAUUAGUGGCGGACGGGUGAGUAACGCGUGAGUAACCUGCCUGCGAGAGGGGGAUAACAACGGGAAACUGUUGCUAAUACCGCAUAACGCAUCGACCCCGCAUGGGGAUGAUGCCAAAGGGAAACCGCUUGCAGAUGGACUCGCGUCUGAUUAGGUAGUUGG